GUCCUACGGGAGGCUGCAGUGGGGAAUUUUGGACAAUGGGCGCAAGCCUGAUCCAGCCAUGCCGCGUGUGUGAAGAAGGCCUUCGGGUUGUAAAGCACUUUCGGCCGGAACGAAAUCGCGCGGGCGAAUAUCCCGCGCGGAUGACGGUACCGGAAGAAGAAGCACCGGCUAACUACGUGCCAGCAGCCGCGGUAAUACGUAGGGUGCGAGCGUUAAUCGGAAUUACUGGGCGUAAAGGGUGCGCAGGCGGCCCCGCAUGUCAGGCGUGAAAUCCCCGGGCUUAACCUGGGAAUGGCGCUUGAAACUACGGGGCUGGAGUAUGGCAGAGGGAGGUGGAAUUCCACGUGUAGCGGUGAAAUGCGUAGAGAUGUGGAGGAACACCGAUGGCGAAGGCAGCCUCCUGGGCCAAUACUGACGCUCAUGCACGAAAGCGUGGGGAGCAAACAGGAUUAGAUACCCGGGUAGUCG
rnacentral:rRNA from 1 species